rnacentral:rRNA from 1 species
AUCUAAGGUCAUAUGACUCUGGUCACACCCAAUCUCAUUUGAUCUUGGAAGUUAAACAGGGUCAGGCCUAGUUGAUACUUGAUGGAGAUAGCUA